UUCCGGUUGAUCCUGCCGGAGGCCAUUGCUAUCGGAGUCCGAUUUAGCCAUGCUAGUCGUGCGAGUUCAGACUCGCGGCACCGAGCUCAGUAACACGUGGCCAAACUACCCUACAGAGACGGAUACCCUCGGGAAACUGAGGUUAACCCGUCAUACCGAUCUCAGGCUUGAAUCGCAGAGAUCACAAAACGCCCCGGCGCUGUAGGAUGUGGCUGCGGUUGAUUAGGUAGACGGUGGGGUAACGGCCCACCGUGCCCAUAAUCAGUACAGGUUGUGAGAGCAAGAACCUGGAGACGGAAUCUGAUACAAGAUUCCGGGCCCUACGGGGCGCAGCAGGCGCGAAACCUUUACACUGCACGCACGUGCGAUAAGGGGACUCCGAGUGCGAGGGCAUAUCGUCCUCGCUUUCGUGUACCGUAGGGUGGUACACCAACAAGGGCUGGGCAAGACCGGUGCCAGCCGCCGCGGUAAUACCGGCAGCCCGAGUGAUGGCCGAUCUUAUUGGGCCUAAAGCGUCCGUAGCUGGCUGCGCAAGUCCGUCGGGAAAUCCACUCGCCCAACGAGUGGGCGUCCGACGGAAACUGCACAGCUUGGGACCGGAAGGCUCGAAGGGUACGUUCGGGGUAGGAGUGAAAUCCCAUAAUCCCGCACGGACCACCGAUGGCGAAAGCACUUCGAGAAAACGGAUCCGACAGUGAGUGGCGAAAGCCAGGGUCUCCAACCGGAUUAGAUACCCGGGUAGUCCUGGCCGUAAACAAUGUUCGCUAGGUAUGACACAGACUACGUGUCUCUGUUGUGCCGUAGGGAAGCCGAGAAGCGAACCGCCUGGGAAGUACGUCUGCAAGGAUGAAACUUAAAGGAAUUGGCGGGGGAGCACUACAACCGGAGGAGCCUGCGGUUUAAUUGGAUUCAACGCCGGGAAG
rnacentral:rRNA from 1 species